CUGCCUGUAUUACAGUUCUAUGCACCCCAGGCCCGUCCCUUCCUAGUACGUGAGGUCCAUAGGGGCGGAAGCUGGCUUAGGGUGGGCACAGGCUCAGCCACGUGGUCCGCACUUGGGAACAUGCACACCAAGCUCCAUGGGGGCAUUUGGCUCCUGAUUCAACAGAGACCAUGAGCCUGGAUGCUGGGGUACAGUCUCCUGAACAACAGCUGGGAAAUUUGGAGUGAGAGCGUUUGGACAUGAGAGGCACGCUUUGAGGGCAGUGGUGGCCCACAGGCCCAUCAGCUCUGCCGGUAGGGGACCCUGAGGAGAGACAGCUGCAGGGCAGUUCUGCAAGGUCACUGUGACCCCUCUGCUACUGGUGGCUCCCUCUCCUCACCCAGGGGGCUCAAGCCCGUGCCUGCUUCAUCAAGACACUCAAUGUUCAUUAAGGCUGCGAUUCCCUGCCUGGCAGGCGGUGCCAACGUGGUGGUCCCCUAAGACUUUCCCACGUCUGCCUCUCCAUCCAUCCCAGAGGCUGUUGAAUCCCCAGACCAGAGGAAGCUCUGGGACACGCACUGUGGCCCUGUGCCCAGAAGGGUCCUGCCAUGGGGAGUCUUGCCUUUGGCCUGGAGCCCACGCCCGUUCUCCUCUCCCACCACUCCCUCACCUGCAGGCGGGUGUGCGACUCCAGGAUUUGAAUAAAAUAAAAACUGACAGUGUGGAGUCAUGUUCAGGGCUGAGCCAGAAAGGAUCCACGCAAUUAUCUUUGUCAGAAUUCAUUUUGUCAAUGCCCCUCUCCUCCUCAGGCUGCAGGCUACUAAUAUCUUUUGAAAGUUUGAGGAGACAGAAUCAAACGAAGAAAGUACUAGGAGCAUCUCCAUAUCAGAACAAACUGGGCCCAAGGCAGGGCAAGGUGUGUGACCCCAGAGGAGUGAGGGCAGAGGGGCCCCUGUGCAGAAGAAGACCCAGAAUCACAGUGGGCAGGGACCUUAGGGGCAACAUGUCUGGAUCCCCCAACAUCAAGGCCCACUCCUCAGCCCCCAGUUCAGGGACAGGGGCCCAUCAUAGUUCAG
rnacentral:lncRNA from 1 species